UACGAAGGGAGCUAGCGUUGUUCGGAAUCACUGGGCGUAAAGCGCACGUAGGCGGAUGUGUCAGUCAGGGGUGAAAUCCCGGAGCUCAACUUCGGAGCUGCCUUUGAUACAGCACGUCUUGAGUCCGGAAGAGGUGGGUGGAAUUCCUAGUGUAGAGGUGAAAUUCGUAGAUAUUAGGAAGAACACCGGUGGCGAAGGCGGCCCACUGGUCCGGUACUGACGCUGAGGUGCGAAAGCGUGGGGAGCAAACAGG
rnacentral:rRNA from 1 species